UCAGCUCCCUCUAUAAAUCCAGUUGUUGGGUCUUGUGAGUGUGACACAUUCCCACCGACUUUGUUUUCUUCCUUAUUCUAUUCCAUGCAUGCUCUCUUCUCCGUUCUGGUAGUGGGUUUUGCAUGCUGCUUUCACAUUUGAUGUUCUUUUUCCUUGUUGUUCUUUUGUUUGGCUUCUCCUGCCAAACUACAUCUGAUCUGAUGUUGUUGUGGGUUUGAUGGUUGCACCGUUCUCCUUUUCUUUUGGUUUUUUGGGUUUGAAGUCCCAUUAUCACCUUUUUUGCUUUUUUGUUCUUUCCUCCUUUCUCUUCUUGAUCUUUUGUGGGCUACAAGCUUCAUCAGAGUGGUUGUUCUUGUAGUUUCCUCUGGAUGGCAUUUAAUGCUCCAGUUCCUGAAGGUGCCUGAAUCUGCAAAGGAAAGCCACUUCACCUGCUGUUUCAUUGAUACCAUCAGAAGAAUGUUUUCUCUCUCAUAGAGAAAACAUGGGGUUUUGUUUUUGGUUAGUGUAUGGAACUCUAUAUCGAUCGAUUUACUUUGUUUCUUCGGGAGACUUCUCUGAGAUUCUUCUGCAGUGACAUGCUUGAGUAAUCAAGAUGUUAUCAUGUCUGUGAAUCAACUUGUGUGAUGAAGAUUCUUCUGCAGAGGCUUACUUGUGUGAUCAGAUGAUACUAUUAGCACAUUCUACCAUGCAAGCCAGCUUUAAGGAAGAACAGAAUUCUUGACACAUGAGAGAACAUUACAACUUGCUUCUUGGUAAUCUGCACCAUUUCCAAACCAAAGAGUCUUUCAAGAACCAUCUGGUCUUAUCAGAAAACAAGAAAGAGCAGGAAAUCUUUUAUUUGUCUGAAAAUAAUUAGCACAUACAGUUUCCUCAGUGUACUGCUCUUUCUAGUGUUUGCUUGUAAUGACCAUCACAUAAUGGUUUUUCCCAACAAGUGUACAUUGUGGUGGCAUAUGCAAGUGUCAGUGUAUUUUACAGAUCAAAUUCUAUAUACCA